GAUGAACGCUGGCGGCGUGCCUAAUACAUGCAAGUCGAGCGAACAGACGAGGAGCUUGCUCCUCUGACGUUAGCGGCGGACGGGUGAGUAACACGUGGAUAACCUACCUAUAAGACUGGGAUAACUUCGGGAAACCGGAGCUAAUACCGGAUAAUAUAUUGAACCGCAUGGUUCAAUAGUGAAAGACGGUUUUGCUGUCACUUAUAGCUGGAUCCGCGCCGCAUUAGCUAGUUGGUAAGGUAACGGCUUACCAAGGCGACGAUGCGUAGCCGACCUGAGCGGGUGAUCGGCCACACGGGAACUGAGACACGGUCCAGACUCCUACGGGAGGCAGCGGUAGGGAAUCUUACGCAAGGGGCGAAAGCCUGACGGAGCAACGCCGCGGGAGUGAUGAUGGUCUUCGGAUCGUUAAACUCUGUUAUUAGGGAAGAACAAAUGUGUAAGUAACUAUGCACGUCUUGACGGUACCUAAUCAGAAAGCCACGGCUAACUACGUG
rnacentral:rRNA from 1 species